UUCUGGUUGAUCCUGCCGGAGGCUACCGCUAUUGGAGUUCGAUUAAGCCAUGCGAGUCGCGAGUCUUAGGGACUCGGCGUACCGCUCAGUAACACGUGGGUAACCUGCCCUAUGCUGGGGGAUAACCUCGGGAAACUGAGAAUAAUACCCCAUAGUUCACCACGCCUGGAACGGUGGGUGGAUGAAAGCUCCGGCGGCAUAGGAUGGGCCUGCGGCGUAUCAGGUUGUAGGGGGUGUAAUGUACCCUCUAGCCAUCUACGCGUACGGGUGUUGGGAGACAUCGCCCGGAGAUGGAUUCUGAGACACGAAUCCAGACCCUACGGGGUGCAGCAGGCGCGAAAACUUGGCAAUGCGAGCAAUCGUGACCAGGGAACUCCAAGUGCAUCGGGUAAGACCGAUGCUUUUCUUGACUCUUCAAAGGUCUUGGAAUAAGGGGUGGGUAAGGACGGUGCCAGCCGCCGCGGUAAUACCGGCGCCUCAAGUGGUAGUCGCUUUUAUUGGGCCUAAAACGUCCGUAGCCGGUUUGGUACGUUCGUGGGUAAAUCAAGGCGCUCAACGUCUUGAAUUCUGCGAGCACGGCCAGACUUGGGACCAGGUGAGGUGUGGGGUACUCUCAGGGUAGGGGUAAAAUCCUGUCAUCCUGA
rnacentral:rRNA from 1 species